rnacentral:rRNA from 1 species
AUUGAACGCUGGCGGCAGGCUUAACACAUGCAAGUCGAGCGAGCGGCGGACGGGUGAUUAAUGUCUGGGAAACUGCCUGAUGGAGGGGGAUAACUACUGUAAACGUUAGCUAAUACCGCAUACCAUCAGCUGUGCCCAGAUGGGAUUAGCUAGGAGGUGGGGUAAUCGCUCACCUAGGCGACGAUCCAUAUCUGGUCUGAGAGGAUGACCAGCCACACAGGAACGGAGACACGGGCCAGACUCCUACGGGAGGCAGCAGUGGGGAAUAUUGCACAAUGGGCGCAAGCCUGAUGCAGCCAUGCCGCGUGUGUGAAGAAGGCCUUCGGGUUGUAAAGCACUUUCAGCGAGGAGGGGUUACUCGCAGAAGAAGCACCGGCUAACUCCGUGCCAGCAGCCGCGGUAAUUC